GCUACUUCCAGAAUCAAUUCAUAAAAGCAUUCCAGUGGAUGGUUGUAGUCUGAUCCUUGGCUGUCACGUGUUCUUGGAGACACACUCUGUCCUGAAGGCGGUAGAAGAAAGAGCCCAACACUCCAGGAAUUCCCAAGGAGAUGUGCGAGGUGGACUGAGAGAGGGCCGGAGAAGCUGCAGAGGCCUGUGGCUGGGAGAUGAAGGGAUUCUCCUCCCAAGGAAGCAGUGCCUGAAGCUCUGUCUCACCCUCCGCUGUCCAAGCAUCCCAUGUGCUGGGAACUGUGUCCAUGCCUGUAAUGUGAACCCCUUCCAGCUCUUCAACAACCUGGGUCCUGGGGGCCAUGGUCUAAAAAGGUCACACAGGAGCAAAGUGUGGAAGCCGAGUCUUCUUUAAUGGCAAAAAUACUUACUGUGUAUGCUGUAGGUAGUGGGGAACCAUUCAGACCUUGCUAACAAUGUUGUGGAAUUUAUGAUAUGCUGGAGGAAGACAUAUAAUAAACAAAUAUAUAAACAGGAUACUUCCAUAAUGUACCAAAUUCUAUAGACACAAGUAGGCAAAGUGGUAGAGUGUGGAUGAUAGAGUACUUGGAGAAGGCCUCUCCUAGCAGGUGGCAUAAGUGCUUAGGCCCAUGUGAUUAGCCAAACCUGGGAAGUUUUGGAGGAGGUAUUUUCCAGGCAGGAGAAAACAGCAAGUGAAAACCUCAGGAGCAGAAACAAAUUUGAGAAAGAAGGCUGGUGAUUUUCCAUCAUACCUACUGUGCUUGCAUGACUGUUUGGCUUGGAAUUUUUCAAGCAUGGUGUAACACCAGGAAUACUUGUAUUAGUUAUCCAUUGCUACAUAACGAGUUACCCUAAGACUGAGUGGCUUGUUUUCAUGGUUUAUAUGAAUGAGGAAUUUGUGAGCAACUUAGCUGGGUAGAUCUUGUACAGGUUCUCCCAGGAGGUUGCAGUCACAACAGAGGCUGGAGCUAUUGUCAUCUGGAGCUUAAUGGCAGCUGGGGGACCUACUUCCAAGGUGACACACUGUGUCACUGGUGAGUUGGUGUGAGAUGUUGUUGAGCAGCUUCAGUUCCUCUAAAUGGGCUGCAAUGGAGGACUGGAGUACCCUCAAAACAGAGUGACAAACUUUCCCCAGAGCAAGUGAUCCAAGACAACAGGGCAGAUGUCACAAGGUCUUUGGCAGCCUCCCCUUGGAAGUCACGUACCAUCCCUUCUGCAUUAUUCUGUUGGUCCGUAUAGGAGGCACUCAGCUACUCAAGAUCUAAGAUUCAGAUGGCAAGGACUGGGGCCAUAUUGAAGACCGUUCAUCACUGGGCCCACAUGAUAUGAUCAACACCCAGCUCUACGUGUUCUCUGCUCUCUUUGGUUUGGUUUCAUUCACAAACACAGGAUCCCAAUAUGGGGGACAAGGUGUCACAGAAGUUCUUUGCUUUUGUUUCUCAAGUCCAGAAUAAAGGAGCUUCUUUUUCCAAUAUUGCCAACAAAAUUCCUGGAGUUGAGUCUCAUUGGCUUUGGUCAGUCUGACUUGAACCAUUUCUCAACAGGUGUCUAUGACUGGAAUGAGGAGGCUUUGAGAGCCAAACCUAUGUCAUGGGUUUCCAUAUGGGAAGGGUGGGGUAACCCUCACCAGUGUCACUUGGACUGAGAGUCAGGGAGAAGUAGUGUCCAUGUAGAAUGCAUGUGGGGUGGGAGGAAAUGACCAGAACAGUGCGCUACACCCUGUACCUUGGAUCUCUCUACCUGUCUUAUUCACAGCCAUGAAAACA
ensembl:lincRNA